AACGCGAAGAACCUUACCAGCUUUUGACAUGUCCUGGACGGAUUGCAGAGAUGCGAUCUUCUCUUCGGAGCCGGGAACACAGGUGCUGCAUGGCUGUCGUCAGCUCGUGUCGUGAGAUGUUGGGUUAAGUCCCGCAACGAGCGCAACCCUCGCCCUUAGUUGCCAUCAUUCAGUUGGGCACUCCAGGGGGACUGCCGGUGAUAAGCCGGAGGAAGGUGGGGAUGACGUCAAGUCCUCAUGGCCCUUACAGGCUGGGCUACACACGUGCUACAAUGGCGGUGACAACGGGAGGCGAAGGGGCGACCCCUAGCAAAUCUCGAAAAGCCGUCUCAGUUCGGAUUGCACUCUGCAACUCGAGUGCAUGAAGUUGGAAUCGCUAGUAAUCGCGGAUCAGCACGCCGCGGUGAAUACGUUCCCGGGCCUUGUA
rnacentral:rRNA from 1 species